UAAUUUAAUCAAUAUACUAAUUAUUCGCAAAUCACUAAUUUUGCAUACUAAUUAUUUUCCAAAUGUUUUAAUACACGAUAAAUAUUACUCUACAAUUCUAUUCCAUCGCAUCAUCAAACCAAUUACUUCAUUUUUCAUAUUCUUCUUAGUUCAUUAGAGACGUGAUACCCUACAAGACAAAUGAAGGUCCUGCGAAAGCUGAAAAUAAG
rnacentral:lncRNA from 1 species